AACAAUCCCAUGAAAGAAAAAAACAGAUCUCCAACUGCAUGCAAGAACAACUUGGAGAGACUUUGACAGCUCAGGUGUGCACAAUACCUGUAGCUGCCACUCGCCUUUCCUAUAGUG